GAUGAACGCUGGCGGCGUGCUUAACACAUGCAAGUCGAACGAAGCAUUUGCGACAGGUUUUUUCGGAAUGAAGUUGCUUAUGACUGAGUGGCGGACGGGUGAGUAACGCGUGGGUAACCUGCCUUGUACUGGGGGAUAGCAGCUGGAAACGGCUGGUAAUACCGCAUAAGCGCACAAUGUUGCAUGACAUGGUGUGAAAAACUCCGGUGGUAUAAGAUGGACCCGCGUCUGAUUAGCUAGUUGGUGAGAUAACAGCCCACCAAGGCGACGAUCAGUAGCCGACCUGAGAGGGUGACCGGCCACAUUGGGACUGAGACACGGCCCAGACUCCUACGGGAGGCAGCAGUGGGGAAUAUUGCACAAUGGAGGAAACUCUGAUGCAGCGACGCCGCGUGAGUGACGAAGUAAUUCGUUAUGUAAAGCUCUAUCAGCAGGGAAGAUAGUGACGGUACCUGACUAAGAAGCUCCGGCUAAAUACGUG
rnacentral:rRNA from 1 species